rnacentral:rRNA from 1 species
UGAAUUGACGGGGACCCGCACAAGCAGCGGAGCGUGUGGUUUAAUUCGUUGCUACACGAAGAACCUUACCUGGGUUUGACAUAUAGGUUGUAGGGAACUGAAAAGGGACCGACCCUUCGGGGAGCCUAUACAGGUGUUGCAUGGCUGUCGUCAGCUCGUGUCGUGAGAUGUUCGGUUAAGUCCGCUAACGAGCGCAACCCUCGUCGUAUGUUAUAUGUGUCACACGGGACUGCCGGUCUUAAGCCGGAGGAAGGUGGGGAUGAUGUCAAGUCAGCAUGGCCUUUAUAUCCUGGGCUACACACACGCUACAAUGGCCAACACAAUAGGUUGCUAAGCCGCGAGGUGGCGCCAAUCCAUAAAGUUGGUCUCAGUUCAGAUUGUAGGCUGCAACCCGCCUGCAUGAAGAUGGAGUUGCUAGUAACCGCAGGUCAGCUAUACUGCGGUGAAUACGUUCCCGGGGCUU